UACACUGGGAAUAGAGCACCCAGUCACCACACUGAUACACCCGGAGAAGUCCCUUCCCUUUUAUAUUUUGUUUUUGGACAACAUCUGGAGGGCUACAGUUUAGAGACCACUGUAUAUUUCCGUAGGAUCCAGCAAGCGAGCAGCACGACAUCGCCGCCCGUCGAUCACCGUCGCCCGCAGCCUCCGCAGAUCGGUCCCCAACAGCUCCUUUCGGGCCCUCGAUGCCUGCUCUUGAGACGAAAGGAAUAGCAUGCCAGUGGAUCUGUAGGAACGGACCUUGAUAUCCGCACCCAAUAACACAUGAGGUGUUCGUAUACUAGAUGGAGUUCCUCUUAUCAAUGUUGUACAUCGUACCAUCCGUUUCAAGCCCAAUGCGUGGAGCUUCGAGUCCCUCCGAUGGAUGAUGCUGUGCAUUGUACUAUUCCUAUUGGGCUCAGCCUGUUUAAAGCUUAUGGCUUAAAGUAAAGAUCAAGAAGGACAUUAAUCAUGGAUACGAUUGUUUUGCAUGUCCUACUUGAGAGCAUUAUGGACCACCUCUGACCUCAAUUAAGAGAACCCCCCCCCCCCCCCUUUCUUCAUUUUUCAUGAUUUAAGUGCUGGACCUUAC